rnacentral:sRNA from 1 species
GCUGAACCUGGUGGUGCAUGUCUGUAAUCCCAGUGACUUGGGAGGCUGAGGCAGGAGGAUAGUGAGUUUGAGCCCAGCCUCAGCAAUUUACUGAGACUCUGCCUCAA